GGGAGCGUUUCGUCACCGGUGUGGCGCCCGGUCUUCAAAACCGGCGGCAGGCCUGAUCGCCUGCGGUAGGUUCGACCCCUAUGCGCUCCCGCCA
rnacentral:tRNA from 1 species